rnacentral:piRNA from 1 species
UAAGCCAUACAAGAGGAUAUACAGGGGA